rnacentral:rRNA from 1 species
CACGUAGGGCGCAAGCGUUGUCCGGAAUUAUUGGGCGUAAAGAGCUCGUAGGCGGACUGUCACGUCUGCUGUGAAAAGCUGGGGCUUAACCCUGGCCUUGCAGUGGAUACGGGCAGACUAGAGGUAGGUAGGGGAGAAUGGAAUUCCCGGUGUAGCGGUGAAAUGCGCAGAUAUCGGGAGGAACACCGGUGGCGAAGGCGGUUCUCUGGGCCUUACCUGACGCUGAGGAGCGAAAGCGUGGGUAGCAAACAGG